rnacentral:lncRNA from 1 species
CAGAAUGCUGAGCCAUCCCCCUGGGUCUUCUGCCACAAAUCUGGGCAAGUUCUUUGGCCUCCAGGAUAUAAUAAUGUUGUUAUUUUCACCGAGUCUUGGCACUAGGCUAUAACACCUCCUUCUUCUGAGUAGGGUCUGUGUUUCAAGUCCUACCUUCUCCGAGUAGAAGUAUAGGUCCCCUCUUUCCUACCCCAGGAUCUGCUCUAUGGUAAAGUUACCCAUUGUGCCAAAAAGUAGAAUCCCACAAAUCUUCCCUGUAGAGACCAAAGACCAAAAUGGCAGAUGAGCACGCUCCAGAUUUAGUCAAGACCAAGACUAAGGCCACAACAAUGAGGUAGGAGCAUGAAGAAGAGGGCAAGUUGUUGGUACACAAGCCUGCCUUGGAAAGGAGCAAUCAAGUUACAGUCUGAGCUGGAGCAUAACCAAGGAAGCCAUGAAGUGUGGGGAAUACAGUUGAGUGGACUUCAUGGUUAGCUCAGAUAGUAUUUGAUUACUCUCGAGGCAGCUUUGCUGCAAGUGUUAGUAAAAACGAGUGCUUGUUUCCUUGCCUUAUAGUUAGUGGAGCAGAGUCAGGUGAAACCGUGGGUUCAUAAUCUCAGGAGGUCUCAGGAUCGCACUCCAAGCACAAAUGCCCAACACUUAGGCUACAGAUGCUCAAACUGAGUCUCAGAUGUUUUUGAAAAAUCCUCUAAACUUUGGCCUCGGUCAAUUUCCUAAUGACGGUCAGUCUAUUCUAGAGUCAGCACCCCUUGCUUCAUCUACGUACAGCUACUAUGGCACAGUUUAAAACGUCUCCAGGCGUUGCUAGCUAUACCUAGAGGCUGAAAACCAAUGCUAGGGAUCUGGGAGCCUUUUAGAGCCCUGGAGCAGGGGCCUCAAUGGAGGGUCCAGGAAGCAGGUCUGAACCUCUGUGUCCCUGACUAGGCACGCAUCGAGGAGCUGGAGGAGGAGCUAGAGGCCGAGCGCACAGCCCGGGCCAAGGUGGAGAAGCUGCGCUCAGACCUGACCCGGGAGCUGGAGGAGAUCAGUGAGAGGCUAGAGGAAGCCGGUGGGGCCACAUCUGUGCAGAUAGAGAUGAACAAGAAGCGCGAGGCCGAGUUCCAGAAGAUGCGGCGGGACCUGGAGGAGGCCACGCUGCAGCAUGAGGCCACAGCCGCGGCCCUGCGCAAGAAGCACGCAGACAGCGUGGCCGAGCUGGGCGAGCAGAUAGACAAUCUACAGCGGGUGAAGCAGAAGCUGGAGAAAGAGAAGAGCGAGUUCAAACUGGAGCUGGAUGACGUCACCUCCAACAUGGAGCAGAUCAUCAAGGCCAAGGCAAACCUGGAGAAAGUGUCCCGGACACUGGAGGACCAGGCCAAUGAAUACCGGGUGAAG